rnacentral:lncRNA from 1 species
CAUCAUUAUUUCUAAACGACAUAGCAUUCUUUAAGGUAUAGAAUUUCAUUAUGAUCUGAUUUUCAAACGUCUCCCGGAUUUGAAAAUCCCGUGGUUCGAUUGUUCCGCUCUUGAAAGAUCUCCAUGUCCGCGUGAUUCGAAUGCCUUGGACUGGUAGCUGUGAGCGAGGCUGAGAAGAACGAGCUCCAUUUAUUAUGCCGGACAUUAACGGUGAUAUCACUGAUAUGGAUGUUUAAUAACGUGAAUUUGAGUUCGAUAAUAGAGAUGCAUUUGCUCUCUGAAAAUAAUUGACUCACGUUGAGUCACAUGGUGCAAGCACGUCGUGUAAAGACUCAAUUUUUUUUUCCCCCUGAAUCAUGUAUAAUUUGCAUAGGAAAUUUCCUUUUAGGCUGGAUUACAAGUAGUAAACAUACAUGUGACUGAUUCAAAGUCAUCUUGGCAAUUGUAGCAUUUAUCUUUUCCUAAUGAGGUGUCAGGACUCUUGUACCUCACUAAUAUCUAGACACAAAGAAUUCUGGUAGGAUUCAAACUUGGCCCAAUGCAUCCUGAGACAUCUUGAAAGAUCCAUUUGGGGAGAAUCUAUCGUUUCUGUUCCUAGGUGAUGAUGAGGUACUGGAAACAGUUUACUGGAUUUCUAAAUUCUAUUGAGCUGUGAAAUUGAUAAAUUCGCUAGUUGUUUUGGUGUUGCUGAAGGGAUUUUUGAGCUUGGGCAUGGUUUGCUAGCAGUAUUAAUUAACAAAUAAGUAUGUCAAGUAAAUAUAGAAGGAACAUUAUGUUCAAAAUUGUAAAAAGAAGAAAAGAAAAAGAGAUAUUAAGUAAUAUCAAUAUGAUUAGAUUUUACAAACUAGAACAGGGAAAAGAAGAAGAAGAAGAAGAAGAAGAAGAGUGAGAGUAUGUGUAAUGCUGAAGGGUGUUUCUGUGUAACACCAGUAAGUAGAUACAUCAUACAGUAAAUGAAAUUGGAAGCAAUUUUCAUUUUGAAAACAUCAAAGGUAUAAGUAAGACAUUCACACAUAUCAUAAACAUUUUUCUUCCUUUAAUGAAUGACCGACACUACGCCCUGUGCCCCUUCCUAUAAGAAGACGAUAUUACACAUCUUUUUAACCAGAAACGCAAGGAUACAAGAAUUCCAUAAACUAAAAAUCAAAGCAAAAAACUUAAACCAUUGUAUCACUGCUCUACAACUCAUUCCAUUAAAACUUAAAAGUUAAACCUUAGUCUAUACAUAAGAAAGCAUACUGAAACUUGAAAGAACUAAUGUGCAUGCACUUAUUUAAUUUGCUUCUAGAUGAAGGCUUCCGACUCUAGUUUUCUUGGCCUGUAGAAUCAUUCGUGACAUCAUUUGGGUUGCUUUAAAACAUAAUAGCAAAGGGUGGGUCGAAUAUUUGUAAGGGUUGGUGAUCACAAGGAUCUUGGCUUCGCUCCCAUGGCCACAAGUGGAGUCGAGGACAUGGACAUAACUCAAUGCCCGAAAGCAACAAACAAGCAACGAAUUGAGCUGCCAAUGCUAGAAAGCCGUUGCGUGUUAGAACAAGCAAGGGUUGAGCUAACGAUGGUGCAACAUGUUAUCUGUGAUUGCUGCCAAGGACUAUUGUUAAGAACAGCAAAUGCAUGUUUGCUGGUUCUACUUCAGUCUCCCAAAAUUAUGCCCUCUCACCAAUUUUACAUCUGAUGGAGCAUGGUUAGCUUCAUUGUCCAUCAAAGGUUUGUGGAGAGUUCACACAGAAAAUUUACUGCAAUGUAGUGUCCUUUACAUGUGGUUGAAAGUUUUUGUAUAUUUACAGUAUUUAUUCAGGAUCUACGUACUACAUUAUUAUCAUUGUAUGAUAUCUUGAUAUAGCUUCGAUCAUCCACUUUUUUGUUAGUGGUGCUGUUUUAUUUUGCAGAUAUCGACAACUACCCAAUAGGCUGUACUCAAUUUCAAAUGAUUAGGUGUCAAAAGUGGAAAAUGAAUGGAAAAUAUAGAGAAUUAAUGCAUAUUUUCGUUAUUAUAUUCUAAAACACAUUUUUAGACAAUUUUCUUACAAUCUUCAUGCUCAACUCAACUCAAUUCAACUAAGACUUGAUUUCAAUUGAUUUGAGGUCGAAUUUGUUUCUUUCAACCAAUCGCGGUCAUGCGCAUGUAUUCAUUUAUGUCAUUAUAUUUUAUCUAAAAUUAUACUCUUUGCAGUUUCCCUAUUUGAUGGAACCUGAACCCUUAGGAAACUCCGACCUUGAGCGACCAGAUUUUCCCAUCACGGCGGGGGAACUAGGCGAAAAGAGCUUAGGAAAUGGUUCUUUGAAAGUUAAAAACUCAAGAGUAUUGAUAGCAGAAAGAGCAAACCCUCUUUUGGAGGGGACUCACCACAGCUUGUCUUCCUAAGAGAGCAUGAUUGAACAUCAACAAGUUCUGAAUCCCCUGACACAUCAUUUUUUACUAUUGCUAUUAGAAGCUUUCAUUUACCUCCCAUUAUUUCUAUUCUCAUAUGUUAUAACUUAACUCCCCUUUGGAGUCCAGACAACACAAAUCUACAUGAUGGCACCCCCCUACGCACAACACUAUGAGACAUGACCUCCAGUUUAGUUUCUUGAAAACAAACAACAUCAACUUUCUGAGUAGGUUCCUCACCCUUAGGCAUUUAUCCCCCUCACUCAACUCUCUCACGUUCUUAGAAGUUUAGGCUUCAUUAAAAACUGAAAUACCCCUCCUUUGAUGACUUGCUUCAAUAACUGUCAAAAUAGCCAUAAACUGUUCCUCAAAACCCACACACGAAACCCCCAAUACUUGAUGGAUCUCCUUCACUCUUUGCAAGACCUAAUCUGAAUUCUUUACCACGACUUGCACCCUCACUUUUAGAGGCGUAAUUAAUGGAGCAUUCCAAUCUCUUUAACUCCCUAUUACUUUUGUUGCCCAUUUUAGAGUGGAUCAUCUCCUUCUC